rnacentral:rRNA from 1 species
AUUGAACGCUGGCGGCAGGCCUAACACAUGCAAGUCGAACGAGUGGCAGACGGGUGAGUAAUGUCUGGGAAACUGCCUGAUGGAGGGGGAUCACUACUGGAAACGGUAGCUCAUACCGCAUACCCCCGGCUGUCCCUAUAUGGGAUUAGCUAGUCGGUGGGGGAAAGGCUCACCUAGGCGACGAUCCCUAGCUGGUCUGAGAGGAUGACCAGCCACACUGGAACUGAGACACGGUCCAGACUCCUACGGGAGGCAGCAGUGGGGAAUAUUGCACAAUGGGCGCAAGCCUGAUGCAGCCAUGCCGCGUGUAUGAAGAAGGCCUUCGGGGUGUAAAGUACUUUCAGCGGGGAGGCGUUACCCGCAGAAGAAGCACCGGCUAACUCCGUGCCAGCCGCCGCGGUAAUAC